GUGGGAGCAAAGCUUGCUCGCGAUGGCGGCAGGCCGUUAUUGCCGAUUGACUACCGCCAUCGCGAGCAAGCUUUGCUCCCAC
rnacentral:misc_RNA from 1 species